AAACUUCAACAGAGUACUCGCCUUCAAGGAAGUUAACGCUUGGCAAUGGAAAGUGGCCAGACUCUCUGUACAUUAUGAAAUGUACGAGAGUCUGGUAGGACCAGGCUAGGGAGACCUGUGUUACAGAUAAAGAAA